rnacentral:rRNA from 1 species
UACAGAGGGGGCAAGCGUUGUCCGGAAUUACUGGGCGUACAGCGCGCGCAGGCGGUUGCCGACGUGCCGUGUGACAAGCGGGGGCUCAACCCCCGAGGGCCACGGUAAACGGGGCGACUGGAGGGAGGGAGAGGGAUGUGGAAUGCCCGGUGGAGCGGUGAAAUGCGUAGAGAUCAGGAAGAACAUCGGUGGCGAAGGCGCUCUGCUGGACCAUAACUGACACUCAGGGACGAAAGCUAGGGGAGCGAAUGGG